rnacentral:sRNA from 1 species
UGAGGAAUGGAGUCGGUGGGCUGCUGCGGCGACUGCCGCGGCUCCUCCGUAGACCCACGGAGCACCUUCGUGUUGAGUAACCUGGCGGAGGUGGUGGAGCGUGUGCUCACCUUCCUGCCCGCCAAGGCGUUGCUGCGGGUGGCCUGCGUGUGCCGCUUAUGGAGAGAGUGUGUGCGCAGAGUAUUGCGGACCCAUCGGAGCGUAACCUGGAUCUCCGCAGGCCUGGCCGAGGCCAGCCACCUGGAGAGGCAUUGCUUGGUUCGAGUGGUAGCAGAGGAGCUUGAGACUCGGUUCAGAUUUUGCCAGUUGUCUCAAUAAGGUUCUUCAUGGCAAAAAGAUCUGUUCCCAAUCCAAGUUGCUCUAAAUCCUUGAGGAAUCACCACACUGUCCUCCACAAUGGUUGAACUAAUUUGCACUCCCACCAACAGUGUGAAAGUGUUCCUGUUUCUCUACAUCCUCUCCAGCAUCUG